ACUACGGGAGGCAGCAGUGAGGAAUAUUGGUCAAUGGGCGCGAGCCUGAACCAGCCAAGUAGCGUGAAGGAUGACUGCCCUACGGGUUGUAAACUUCUUUUAUAAAGGAAUAAAAUGAGGCACGUGUGCCUUUUUGUAUGUACUUUAUGAAUAAGGAUCGGCUAACUCCGUGCCAGCAGCCGCGGUAAUACGAAGGAUCCGAGCGUUAUCCGGAUUUAUUGGGUUUAAAGGGAGCGUAGAUGGGUUGUUAAGUCAGUUGUGAAAGUUUGCGGCUCAAACGUAAAAUUGCAAUUGAUACUGGCAGUCUUGAGUACAGUUGAGGUAGGCGGAAUUCGUGGUGUAGCGGUGAAAUGCUUAGAUAUCACGAAGAACCCCGAUUGCGAAGGCAGCUUACUAAACUGUCACUGACAUUGAUGCUCGAAAGUGUGGGUAUCAAACAGGAUUAGAUACCCUAGUAGUC
rnacentral:rRNA from 1 species